rnacentral:rRNA from 1 species
UAUCAAGCUACUAAGGGCUUACGGUGGAUGCCUUGGCGCCGGAAGACGAUGAAGGACGUGUCUAGCUGCGAUAUGCCUCGGGGAGCUGCUAAGAGAGCAUUGAUCCGGGGAUUUCCGAAUGGGGCAACCCGAUGAGGUAGACCCUCAUCACUGCAGGAUGAAUACAUAGUCCUGUAGAGUUAACGGAGAGAACUGAAACAUCUUAGUAUCUCUAGGAAAAGAAAUCAAUUGAGAUUCCCCAAGUAGUGGCGAGCGAACGGGGAAUAGCCUAAACCCUGUGAAUGUCAAGCCUGCCGGCGUUGUUCACGGGGGGUCACGGGCCAUUUUCGGAGCGAGCGGCAGCUUGCUCGGAGAGUUACAAAACAAUCGUUUAGUUGAACUUCUAUGGAAAUAGAGGCCAGAGCGGGUGAUAGCCCCGUAAACGAAAAGCGAUUGUCUCUCUGGAUUUUGUGCCCAAGUACCACGGGACACGUGGAACCCUGUGGGAAUUCGGGAGGACCACCUUCCAAGGCUAAAUACUAGCCGGCGACCGAUAGUGAACUAGUACCGUGAGGGAAAGGUGAAAAGAACCCCGGCAAGGGGAGUGAAAUAGU